rnacentral:rRNA from 1 species
CGCUUUUUGUAAUCAUAAAAAGUCGUACCUGCCCAGUGAAGUAAUAUAAACGGCCGCAGUAUCCUGACUGUGCUAAGGUAGCAUAAUAAUUUGCCUCUUAAUUGGUGGCUAGAAUGAAUGGUUUGACGAAGGCAUAGCUGUCUCUAAUAUAUUAUGUAUAAUUUAUCUUUUAGGUUAAAAUUCCUAAAUUUAAUUAAGGGACGAGAAGACCCUAUUGAAUUUUAAAAAAAUUUAUAAAUAAAAUUUAUUAUUAAAAUUAAUUUAUUUAUAUAAUGAUUUUGGUUGGGGCAACCAAGGAAUAAUGAAAGCUUCCUGUAUAUAAAUAUAAAAACUUUUUUUGAUCCAAUAUGAUAUAUUGAUAAUAGGAAUUAAUUACCAUAGGGAUAACAGCGUAAUUUUUCUUGAGAGAUCUAAUCGAAAGAGAAGUUUGCGACCUCGAUGUUGGAUUAGGAUAUUCAAAAGGUUGUAGAAGCUUUUAUGAUUAGUCUGUUCGACUAUUUAAAUCCU